GUUGGGUACGGAGAUAAGGUGCCCCUCGGGGUGAUGGGAAGGAUGAUUGGUGCUGCCUGUGCCAUCACGGGGGUGCUGACCCUCGCCAUACCAGUCCCUAUUAUAACGGGCCAC
rfam:Helobdella robusta unplaced genomic scaffold HELROscaffold_4, whole genome shotgun sequence.